rnacentral:rRNA from 1 species
UACGAAGGGGGCUAGCGUUGCUCGGAAUCACUGGGCGUAAAGGGUGCGUAGGCGGGUUUUUAAGUCAGGGGUGAAAUCCUGGAGCUCAACUCCAGAACUGCCUUUGAUACUGAAGAUCUUGAGUCCGGGAGAGGUGAGUGGAACUGCGAGUGUAGAGGUGAAAUUCGUAGAUAUUCGCAAGAACACCAGUGGCGAAGGCGGCUCACUGGCCCGGUACUGACGCUGAGGCACGAAAAGCGUGGG